rnacentral:rRNA from 1 species
AUUGAACGCUGGCGGCAUGCCUUACACAUGCAAGUCGAACGGCAGCAUGGAGAGCUUGCUCUCUGAUGGCGAGUGGCGAACGGGAGAGUAAUGCAUCGGAACGUACCGUGUAAUGGGGGAUAACGUAGCGAAAGUUACGCUAAUACCGCAUACGACCUGAGGGUGAAAGCAGGGGAUCGCAAGACCUUGCGUUAUACGAGCGGCCGAUGUCAGAUUAGCUAGUUGGUGAGGUAAAGGCUCACCAAGGCGACGAUCUGUAGCGGGUCUGAGAGGAGGAUCCGCCACACUGGGACUGAGACCCGGCCCAGAAUCCUACGGGAGGCAGCAGUGGGGAAUUUUGGACAAUGGGGGCAACCCUGAUCCAGCCAUGCCGCGUGAGUGAAGAAGGCCUUCGGGUUGUAAAGCUCUUUCGGCCGGGAGGAAAUCGCACAGGCUAAUACUCUGUGUGGAUGACGGUACCGGCAUAAGAAGCACCGGCUAACUACGUGCCAGCCGCCGCGGUAA